AGCUUUGAACAGUGGCAGCAUUGUAGCUAAUGAGAUUUAGCCAAGGCACGAUUAUUGCUAAUUGAACUCUUUUCUCAAUACUCCACUGUGAGGACUUGCAAUAUAGUUAGCACUGGCAAUUUUUUUUUUUUUUUUUU